UCUUGGUUGAUCACACACACAUUCAGAGACAUUGGAAAUUCUAUACCAGGUUCAUCCCAGUUCUACUGUCCAGACCAGACAACCCACCAGGAUGGGCGCACUGCAAAUAGGCACGGCCGUCUUCGCUUCCAUCAGCCUUGGGCUGCUCCUUGCUGCUCUGGCCUCGGACUACUGGGUGGUCAGCACGGACCGCACAGGCCUGUGGCAGUUUUGCCGAGGUUUUAUCUGUCGUGCCUAUGGGAUAAAUCCGCCUGACUAUAUCCAUGCCACUCGAGCCUUCCUCCUCAUGGGGGCUAUCGCUGGUGCCUUCUCCUUCUUCGUUCUCUGGGCCUUGGUUUCCCGUUGUUACGCUGGAUCUGUCUCAGCAGCCAAGAUCGCAGCCAUAGCCAGCUUCGUG